UUGAUUAUAAAAAACAUUUGACAUCUUUCUACUCACUUUACGGAUACUAUUUGGAAUUUUCGUCUGCGAUGUCGUGACCGCUCGAGCCUGUGGAUUUCUGAACAUAACGUGCCAAACAAAUGGAGUGAGGACAAACCCAGCCCUCCUCUCUCCUUCCACACUGAGUCCAAACCUACAGUCACUGGGUCCUGAUUGUGACAGUGGAGCCCAGUUUGCACUGCAGGAUCCAGAGAUGGCAUCAGUGAAGCUGGAAGACUGCAGUCAAACACUGGAGCUGAAUGUCAACAUUAAAGAUGAAGAAGAGGAGGAGGAGAUUGGGAAAUCUGUUAAUCAUGGCACCAUGAUCUUGUAGUGGAUGCGAGCUUUGAUUGGAAACCUGUGCAAUGUACCGAAAGGUUGCAAGAUCGAAUCCCCGAGCUGCCAAGGUACAAAUCUGUCGUCCUGCCCCUGAACAGGCAGUUAGCCUCCCGGGGAACAGUGGAUUGUCAUUGAAAAUAUGAAUUUGUUCUUCACUGACUUGCCUAGUUAAAUAAAGGUAUAAAAAAAAUACAAAAAAUGUCAAAUGAGCUGAGGCUCACUAGAGUUAACAAUUAUUCGUGGGAACUGCAAACUACUUACCCUAAACA